rnacentral:rRNA from 1 species
GACCGGGUGAGUAACACGUGGGCAAUCUGCCCUGCACUCUGGGACAAGCCCUGGAAACGGGGUCUAAUACCGGAUACUGACCUGCCAAGGCAUCUUGGCGGGUCGAAAGCUCCGGCGGUGCAGGAUGAGCCCGCGGCCUAUCAGCUUGUUGGUGAGGUAAUGGCUCACCAAGGCGACGACGGGUAGCCGGCCUGAGAGGGCGACCGGCCACACUGGGACUGAGACACGGCCCAGACUCCUACGGGAGGCAGCAGUGGGGAAUAUUGCACAAUGGGCGCAAGCCUGAUGCAGCGACGCCGCGUGAGGGAUGACGGCCUUCGGGUUGUAAACCUCUUUCAGCAGGGAAGAAGCGAAAGUGACGGUACCUGCAGAAGAAGCGCCGGCUAACUACGUGCCAGCAGCCGCGGUAAUACGUAGGGCGCAAGCGUUGUCCGGAAUUAUUGGGCGUAAAGAGCUCGUAGGCGGCUUGUCGCGUCGGUUGUGAAAGCCCGGGGCUUAACCCCGGGUCUGCAGUCGAUACGGGCAG